AAGGAUCAUUACAGAGUUCAUGCCCUCACGGGUAGAUCUCCCACCCUUGAAUAUUAUACCUUAGUUGCUUUGGCAGGCCGGGGCAACCCCCGGGGCUUCGGCCUUGGUGUGCCUGCCAGAGGAAACAAACUCUGUUUUUAGUGAUGUCUGAGUACUAUAUAAUAGUUAAAACUUUCAACAACGGAUCUCUUGGUUCUGGCAUCGAUGAAGAACGCAGCGAAAUGCGAUAAGUAAUGUGAAUUGCAGAAUUCAGUGAAUCAUCGAAUCUUUGAACGCACAUUGCGCCCCGUGGUAUUCCGCGGGGCAUGCCUGUUCGAGCGUCAUUUCAACCCAUCAAGCUUCGGCUUGGUCUUGGGGCCUGCGAUUCCGCAGCCUCUAAACCCAGUGGCGGUGCCUCCGAGCUCUGAGCGUAGUAAUUCUUCUCGCUAUAGGGUCUCGGUGGUGUCUUGCCAGUAACCCCCAAUUUUUUACAGGUUGACCUCGGAUCAGGUAGGGAUACCCGCUGAACUUAAGCAUAUCAAUAAGCGGAGGAAAAGAAACCAACAGGGAUUACCUCAGUAACGGCGAGUGAAGCGGUAACAGCUCAAAUUUGAAAUCUGCCGCAAGGCCGAGUUGUAAUUUGUAGAAGAUGCUUUGGGUAUGGCCCCGGUCUAAGUUCGUUGGAACACGACGUCAUAGAGGGUGAGAAUCCCGUAUGUGACUGGGUGCUUUUGCCUAUGUAAAGCUCUUUCGACGAGUCGAGUUGUUUGGGAAUGCAGCUCAAAAUGGGUGGUAUAUUUCAUCUAAAGCUAAAUAUUGGCCAGAGACCGAUAGCGCACAAGUAGAGUGAUCGAAAGAUGAAAAGCACUUUGGAAAGAGAGUUAAACAGUACGUGAAAUUGUUGAAAGGGAAGCGCUUGCAACCAGACUUGCGCGCUGUUGAUCAUCCAGGCUUCUGUCUGGUGCACUCGGCAGCGUUCAGGCCAGCAUCGGUUCUGGUGGUGGGAUAAAGGCCUUGGGAAUGUAGCUUCUUUCGGGGAGUGUUAUAGCCCUCGGUGCAAUGCCGCCUAUCGGGACCGAGGACCGCGCUUCGGCUAGGAUGCUGGCGUAAUGGUUGUAAGCGACC
rnacentral:rRNA from 1 species